CGGCACUCGUGACCUCGCCAGCUCUCAGCUCCCUCGGGCGUUUUCGUGCACGCUAAUGUGCGCCUCUGUGUUUUCCUAAAUGCUGGUUUCUUCAUCAAGCGGCGGAAUAACGCAUCAGGGCAGGUGGCCCACGUCACCGGGGUGAUGCGCUGGUGCUCGCCGGGGCGGGCGCUGUGCCUGCGGGAGCCGCGCGGCCGGCGCGGUGUCGGGGCGCCUGGUGGGGGCCGAGCCGCGCCCGCACGUCCCUCAGAACUCUCAGUGAGUGUCAGAUCAACACAUUCAUCCACCAUAUCCCGUGUGUAUAAGAACAAUCCAUCACUCCUGACCUAAUCCAGCACAGAACAGAACUUCUGGAAGAGGACCAAAGAAGAGAAAAAGUGGAAGUGUCACAUGCCCAGAGGAAAAUAGAUGCUACAGAGAUGAAUAAAACAAAACAAAACAAAAGGAAGAAAGCCGAGCUAAUCUGGGAGUUCCAUCACGGCUAAGAACGCAUCGUUGUUUUGUCACGCGGUUCCUAGCCCGGCUCAGACCUGGGCUGCGGCACCUCAGGCAUCUCCUUUCAUCUCCUGGCUCUUCUCCUGGCUCCCGGGCACUUCUCGAGACUUUUUGGACCUGGACUGGUCCAUGGCAGAACACCUCUUUCCUGAGUCCUCCCCAUGCACCUGCCCAAAGCGGGGGAUUGGGGUGGCAAUCUGCGAGAUGCCAGGCUCCUCAAAUGGAGCCGUCACCCCCUAGGCUGUACUUGGCAUUGUCUCCAAGGAGCCUGGGGAGGUAACCGGUUGGGGACUGAUUCACUUGGGAGGGAGGGAGCGAGUGCAGAUUGCAGAUGCUAUCUAGUCGGGCCAAUCAACCUGGAGAAGGGCAGGUCUGUGUCUCAACUGGUUUAGGGGUGGGAGAGUGGGAUCGGAACUUUUACACCUUGCAUUCUUAGGACGUCACAAUGGUUUUCCCAAGGCCUCCUUAUCUGAGGCUGUUUACCUAUUCAACCAGCAUAGGCAGGUUCAGGACUCCCACUUUGUCCGGGUUCUGUCCUCACAGGCACAGGAAGAUUAAUGCGAACAACAGGGUCUGACAAACCAAAACUCACAGAUAAGAGACUCGGGUUAUUGGGGCAGAUGCCAGAAGUCAUGGGACCUUCACGGGGUGGCUGUAGGUUGAGCAAUCUCCCUCGGGAUGUGAGGGGGUUAUUUCUGCGUUAUUGGUCAUUGAGAAAUUCCCUAAUCUUAGAAAAGGAAUGGAACUAAGGACUUGAAUUGGAGUAUACGUAGUUGACCUAAUUAUAAGGUUGUCCAUCCGUCUGUUUAAUAAACAGUUCCAUGAUGUGGGACGGCAAGGUCACUCACA